UACGUAGGGUGCGAGCGUUAUUCGGAAUUAUUGGGCGUAAAGGGCGCGUAGGCGGCCCGGUAAGUCAAAGGUGAAAUCCCUCGGCUCAACUGAGGAACUGCCUUUGAAACUGUCGGGCUUGAGGCCGGGAGGGGGUAGCGGAAUUCCCAGUGUAGCGGUGAAAUGCGUAGAUAUUGGGAGGAACACCAGUGGCGAAGGCGGCUACCUGGACCGGUUCUGACGCUGAUGCGCGAAAGCGUGGGUAGCAAACAGG
rnacentral:rRNA from 1 species